rnacentral:rRNA from 1 species
GAUGAACGCUGGCGGCGUGCUUAACACAUGCAAGUCGAACGGAAAGGCCCAGGCUUGCUUGGGUACUCGAGUGGCGAACGGGUGAGUAACACGUGGGUGAUCUGCCCUGCACUUCGGGAUAAGCCUGGGAAACUGGGUCUAAUACCGGAUAGGACCACUUCGUAGUUGUUGUGGUGGAAAGUUUUUUCGGUGUGGGAUGAGCUCGCGGCCUAUCAGCUUGUUGGUGGGGUAAUGGCCGACCAAGGCGUCGACGGGUAGCCGGCCUGAGAGGGUGUACGGCCACAUUGGUACGGAGAGACGGCCCAGACUCCUACGGGAGGCAGCAGUGGGGAAUAUUGCACAAUGGGCGGAAGCCUGAUGCAGCGACGCCGCGUGGGGGAUGACGGCCUUCGGGUGGUAAACUCCUUUCGCCAAAGACGAAUUUAUGACGGUAUUUGGAGAAGAAGCACCGGCUAACUACGUG